AUGAUAGGUCCCGGUGUGUGAUGUUCCCCUUCCUGAGUCCAAGUGUUCUCAUUGUUCAGUUCCCGCAUGUUCUCACUCAUAGGUGAGAAUAUUUGUUUUUUAAAGUCUAAAUAAGUUGCAGCCAAAAAAUGCAAAGCCAUCUUCUAAUUAAAAAUUUGUCACUUUUUUUUUCCACAGGCUUUACACUUAAGAGUUUAGGCUAGAAUUUUAACUUAAUGUUUACAGCUUUUUUUCUUAGCUAGGUCUCUCCAAAGGAAAGACUAUACAGUCCUGUUUUUAAAAGCUGCCUGAGAAAUUAUGUAUCUUAAUUUGUUUUUAUUUUAUUGGUUACUAAUGCUUUAACUGACAUCACCAAAAAAGGGGAGAAUAUGGAAACAUUUAGAAUUCAGAGUUUAUUAAUUGUAACAGGGAUUUACUUUUUACAUUCAUAUUACCACUAAAGAAUAUCUACACAGGCAAUAAAAGAAUGCACUUUAAACUGAUUAGCUAAAAACUCUAAAAAACUUUUUUUUAAAGCAAACUGGGUGACUCUCCUAAAACUGUGUCGUUUUCUUAAAGGCUUUGAACUGGGUUCACAGUAUGUGACAAAUAUAUGUAAACAUUAACUACUUUUAAAAACUGGAAAGUGUUCCCCAGCAAAGAAUCAACCUUUCAGGCUUAAGAAUUAAUUUAAUAUGCAAUGCUUUUAAGAUUUUAUCAGCAUAUUACAAAAUGAAUUUAUAUAACAAGUUAUAUCACACAUACUCUCAUUCUAACCAAAUGUACUUAAACAUUCAUUUGGCUAUGAAGAGAUUAUGAAAUAUGUAAUGCCAAUAUAAAGAAUAAAAUUCAUCCUGAGACAUAGAAAGGAGAAAAAAAUCUAAUUUUUCUAGAGCCAAUUAUAGCCAUGAUUAAAUUAUUCUAUUUAUUCCUUACAACAAUAUAUUGAAAUAGGUGUGAUCACCUUCAUUUUACAUUUGAAAAGAAUAAAGUUCAGCAUGGUUACAUAACUUGUCCAGUUCACAAAGCUAGUAAGGACAAGAUAAGAAGAUUCGAACCCAAAGCUCUCUGCAAAUUUCUGACUGCUUAUGCUCUUGCUACUACUAACUGCAGAACAACAUUCCAGAGGGUAAAUCGAAAAACUCACAAAAAAAGAGAUAUGUAUAUAUUGUAUUACAGUCUAAAAUGGAGUAAAACUGAAUGACUGAAAAACUCACAUGGAAAAUAAAUUAGAAGAGUUAGCAGAAGAAUACUAAAACAACCAAUUCUAAACUUUUCAAACACACACAAAAAACUGAACUACAAGAAAAGAAAAAACAACCAUAAUCUUAAACAUCCUUGAAAAGAAAAACCUCAAUCCAUUACUAAAAAUACUUCAUUGUUUUCAUCCAACAUGUCCCCGAUUCCAUAGUUACCUCCAUUCAAAAUCUAAAAUUGAAACCAGGAUGAGAGUUCAUAAAUGUUUUCCCAUCAUUCUUACCUAAUUCUUUGCUUAAAAGGUUUAGAAGGAGAUAGGUAUUAACAAGUGCAUCACUAUCUAGAGAAGUUUUUUGUUAUUGUUUUGUUAUGUUUUGUUGUGUUUUUAUAAAGAAACUAACCGUUCUUUCACAAGGAUCUAGCCAUUAACCCUUUCAAGAAAUAGUUACUUAAUGCCUACCUUCGUUGCGGCACGGAUCCAAGAACUAGAAAUACAAAGUCAUACAGAACUCAGCAGCUAUCUUCUGGAUAUUGCAUCAUGGGGGAACUGACAUUUGAACAAACAAUUUUAGAAAAGAUGCAUACAUUGUGAGAAAUUCCUCCAGGUGAGUUUCUCUCUUCUAACUUGUCUUAUUGGGUAUGCCAAGAAUGCAAGGACCUGACUGAUCUUUAUCAGUGUCAUUUCUCAGGAUUGUGUUUGCAACAAGCAACCUUGAGGGAUAAGGUAAAGCCUCUCUUCAGUAUAAAGAGUAGGCUUGUUUAUUGCUUGCUAAUGGAACAGCUGGUAACCCAAGUUCACUCCUUCUUGGUUGUGAUGCCACCCUCUACAUACACAGUAUAUACCUGGGCCUAGGUCAUUUUAUUCCUACAGGAUAUGGAGGCAAGGAGAACCAAUAUAAACACGAUGCUCAUGCUGCUUGCUGUACCAUAAUAGUCUUUUGUCUCUGACUCAGAAGUCUCAUGUCAUCUGCUAACAUCCAUGGAAGAGUUACAGGGCCAUUAUGAUAAACAAGCAGCAUCUUUACCACAGGAAGUUGGAUACCAAGUCAUCAGACACUGGAAGUAUAGAGACGCUAAACUCAUGUAACCCUCACCACAACUUUAUGAGACAGCUGAAUUUCUACCCUGUCCUAACUUUGCUGAUCUUUAAGAAACGGGACUUCUGCAAUAAAAAGUUCCCUUUACAACCAGACCAGCUGAGACUGGUUAGAACUGAGAUAGGCAAACGAAUGACAUCAAAAAGACCUCGGGCUUCAUUAUAAUCUCAUUUUCAUACUAUAUGACAUGCCCACCAGCACCAUGACAGCUGAAAAUGACCAUGACAAGGACCGGAAGAGGCCAUAAAAAGACAAAAAGGAAAGCAGCACUCCAAUUCACCAUCAAUUGUGAAACCGAUGGAAGUUCACCACCAAUUUCCAGAAAAGAAAUGCAUGCUGCUCCUCUUGCUUUUUAUGUCCUUUAUUAGAGAAAUCCUUUUAUUUUAACCCCCUCACCCUUCUCUAGUUGAGAAGUUGAUUUGUGAGCCACGCUCCUGUUUCUCAAUUCCAUGGACACUGAAUAAAGCCUGCACUUGAUACCCACUUUCGGUUUUGUGUAUAGG